rnacentral:rRNA from 1 species
GACGAACGCUGGCGGCGUGCCUAAUACAUGCAAGUCGAACGAACCGCGACUAGGUGCUUGCACUUGGUCAAGGUGAGUGGCGAACGGGUGAGUAACACGUGGGUAACCUACCUCAUAGUGGGGGAUAACAGUCGGAAACGACUGCUAAUACCGCAUAGGACAUAGGAUCACAUGAUUCUGUGAGGAAAGGUGGCGCAAGCUAUCGCUAAGAGAUGGACCCGCGGUGCAUUAGCUAGUUGGUAGGGUAAAGGCCUACCAAGGCGAUGAUGCAUAGCCGACCUGAGAGGGUGAUCGGCCACAUUGGGACUGAGACACGGCCCAAACUCCUACGGGAGGCAGCAGUAGGGAAUCUUCCGCAAAGGACGCAAGUCUGACGGAGCAACGCCGCGUGAGUGAAGAAGGUCUUCGGAUCGUAAAGCUCUGUUGUUAGAGAAGAACAGCGCAUAGAGUAACUGUUAUGCGUGUGACGGUAUCUAACCAGAAAGCCACGGCUAACUACGUG